AUUGAACGCUGGCGGCAGGCCUAACACAUGCAAGUCGAGCGAGCGGCGGACGGGAGAGUAAUGACUGGGAAACUGCCUGCUGGAGGGGGAUACCUACUGGAAACGGUAGCUAAUACCGCAUAACAACAGAUGUACCCAGCUGGGAUGAGCUAGUAGGUGGGGUAAUGGCUCACCUAGGCGACGAUCCCUAGCUGGUAGGAGAGGAUGACCAGCCACACUAGAACUGAGACCCGGUCCAUACUCCUUCGUGAGGCAGCAGUGGUGAAUAUUGCACAAUGGGCGCAAGCGUGAUGCAGCCCUGCCGCGUGUAUGAAGAAGGCCUUCGGGUUGUAAAGUACUUUCAGCGGGGAGACGUUACCCGCAGAAGAAGCCCCGGCUAACUCCGUGCCAGCCGCCGCGGUAAUAC
rnacentral:rRNA from 1 species